CCUGCCCAGGGAUAGGCUGCUGCAGUACACCUGAGUGCUGAGUUGCCACAGGCUCUGCUUGAAGGAUGAGUCAGUGCAGCAUGCCUGAAUAAUAAGUCACUGCAGGCUCUGUUCAGAGUGCAAGUCAUGGCUGCUUAGUGAGCAGCCCUGGUCUGGUUGCAGGUUUCCCACUCAUUGGGUAUCCUAAUCCACAUACGGCAUUGGUAAAAUGUGAAUUCUUUGUUAUGAACAAGUUUAUAACACCUCCUGUAUCUAUUUUGAAUCUUUAUAUAAACACUUCCAUCUCUCCUGCUUCUACAGUCUUGUACUGGGAUUGUCAGAAGACACCUGAAGAACAGAAGCAGCACUGGACUGAGGGAGGGAGCCUGACUAAAAGAAGUUCAGCCAGCAGGAUUUCUGAAACAUGACUAGAUUUAUGUGACUUGACUGGAGGGCCAAACCACUGAAGACCUGCCAAGAUCAGUCAGCAGCCUGCAAAGGUCACUAAGGGCAGGAGAAGGAUUGUGAUACCUCAUCCAGUUGCUUGGAAGCUUCAAGAGGAAGCCUGAGGCAUUAAACUCUGUUGCUGGGACUUUUCCAUCCUGAUCAUCUGUUCCUACCCAUACAAGAAUUUCAGAAUCAAGUUUUAUUUAUGGAAAAAAGACUAAUGAUAGAACACUAAUACAGAA